rnacentral:rRNA from 1 species
UCAGACCUGAGUGUGGCAGGACCACCCGCUAAACUUAAGCAUGUUACUCAGCGGAGGAAAAGAAAACAACCGUGAUUCUCUCAGUCAGCGGCGAGCGAAGAGG